AGGGUAUUUUCGCAAUGCUUUCCAUCUCAUUAGGAUAAGCAGUCAUAGUAAAUACAGGUUAUUUUGCGGAUCACCCUCAAUCGCCCUCGCAUCAGCGAUAGGUAAUACAGAUUACAAACAGCUGCACUUCCUACAGGUAGACAAAGAAGAAAGGCUACGGAACGAUUGUCACCUUAGAAGCUGGCUGAGAUGAAUCAGAACUGUUUUGUCCUCGUUAGCAAUGAAAAUAUCCCUUGGCAGUGAAUGUUUGGGAAAA